CGCUGGGGGCCGGCCCGCCCGUUCAGUUGCUGUCGGGAGGCUGUAGCGUGAGCGCUCGCCGUCGGGGACGGCCGUGCUGCUGCUGCUGCGCUCCGCGGACCCACGCGGACACCAACCGCCGAGAGGCGCGGCCUGCCGCCGCCGGCCGCGGCUUGUGCGGAGAGCGGGCGCUAGGCCCCGGGCCGCUUCCCAGCCAUGAGCUACGGCCGCCCGCCGCCCGAUGUGGAGGGCAUGACCUCCCUCAAGGUGGACAACCUGACCUACCGCACCUCGCCCGACACGCUGCGCCGCGUCUUCGAGAAGUACGGGCGCGUCGGCGACGUGUACAUCCCGCGGGACCGCUACACCAAGGAGUCCCGCGGCUUCGCCUUCGUCCGCUUCCACGACAAGCGCGACGCCGAGGACGCCAUGGACGCCAUGGACGGCGCCGUGCUGGACGGCCGCGAGCUGCGGGUGCAGAUGGCGCGCUACGGCCGGCCGCCCGACUCGCACCACAGCCGCCGGGGCCCGCCGCCCCGGAGGUACGGCGGCGGCGGCUACGGGCGGCGGAGCCGCAGCCCUCGGCGCCGUCGCCGCAGCCGCUCCCGGAGCCGGAGCCGUUCCAGGUCCCGGAGCCGCUCCCGGUACAGCCGCUCCAAGUCUCGGUCCCGCACUCGGUCGCGCUCGCGGUCCACCUCCAAGUCCAGAUCGGCGCGAAGGUCCAAGUCCAAGUCCUCGUCGGUCUCCAGAUCCCGCUCGCGGUCCAGGUCCAGGUCGAGAUCCAGAAGCCCUCCCCCCGUGUCCAAGAGGGAAUCCAAGUCCAGGUCGCGCUCCAAGAGCCCCCCCAAGUCUCCAGAGGAAGAAGGAGCAGUGUCCUCUUAAGAAAAUGGUAAUGUCUGCAGGAACCCGAGACCCACCCUGAGUCCCGUGGGGUUUGAAGUAGGUUUUUUGAGCCAUGCUAGCGUAAGAGUGACUCCUGGUGUUAAAGAGUACUGCUCUGAAGUUACUCGGCUUUGGGAGUGAUGCUGAAGAGGGGUCUUCAGAGAGGAUUGUGUAAAGCUUAGAUAAUAAUGGCUGUUUCAUACUGUUUGAGACCUAUUAAUGAAAAUGACUAUUUCUUGCUGUUUUUAUCCAACGUCUGCAUUUUCCCCCUUUAAAGCUGCGGUCUCCUGUUUGAUAAAAGAAUAUUGGCCAGUAUUGCAGAUUUUAACUGAUUUGGCUGAUCCUCCAGGGACCAGUUUCUGUGGGCGUGUAUUGGAGCAGAUGGAUCGGCAGAUGGCUUAACAGAGGACUCUGGAGGAAAGGACCACAACUCAGUCCAUCGGUCCAUGGAAGAGUCCUUGGAACAAGCAACUGGCUAUUGAAAAGGUUAUUUUGUAACAUUUGUCUAACUUUUUACUUGUUUUAAUCUGCCUCAGGUGGCAAACUUCAUUUUAUGUGCCAUUUUGUUGCUGUUAUUCAAAUUUCUUGUAAUUUAGUGAGGUGAGCGACUUCAGAUUUCAUUAUUGGAUUGGAUAUUUGAGGUAAAAUUUCAUUUUUGUUUAUAGUGCUGACUUUUUUUGUUUGAAAUUAAACAGAUUGGUAACCUAAUUUGUGGCCUCCUGACUUAAUAAGGAAACGUUUGCAGCCAUUACACACAGCCUAAAGCUGUCAGCAGAUUGACUCAACAUUGCCUUCACUCCUUAAAAUUAAAAACCUACGAAAGUUGGUGUAAUUCGUUUAUAUAUGCUAUUUACCUUCAGGUCUAAAUGAUAAUCUGAACCCAAAUUUGUAUAAAGACUUUUCAGGUGAAAAGACUUAAUUUUUUGAAAGGAUUGUUUACCAAACCCAAUUCUAAUCUCUUCUCUUGUGUAUUUUUGUGCACUAGGCGCAGUUGUGUAGCAGUUGAGUAAUGCUGGUUAGCUGUUAAGGUGGCGUGUUGCAGUGCAGAGUGCUUGGCUGUUUCCUGUUUUCUCCUGAUUGCUCCUGUGUAAAGAUGCCUUCUUGUGCAGAAACAAAUGGCUGUCCAGUUUAUUAAAAUGCCUGACAACUGCACUUCCAGUCACCCGGGCCUUGCAUAUAAAUAAUGGAGCAUACAGUGAGCACAUCUAGCUGAUGAUAAAUACACACCCCUCUCCCCUCAAAAAAUGGUAAAUCUGAUCAUCCUCAUGUAUGAACUUAAUCAGAAAAUGUUAAGGAAGCAAAUGGUUUGUAACUUUGUAAGUACUUAAAACAUGGUGUAUCUUUUGCUUAUGAAUAUUCUGUACUAUAACCAUUGUUUCUGUAGUUUGAUUAAAGUGUUUCUUGGUGUUAGCUUUUU